GAGUGAAGAGGUCCUCAGACUUUUGGGGGUCUCAGAUACGUUUGGAGAAGCUUUGCAAGCUAAAGGAGCACCUCUCAAAGGCUGGUUCUUCAGGUAUGUUUCUAGUUCCUCACAGAACUCUUGCUUGCAUUCGGUUCCUCUUUCUGAUCGUUCCAGAAUGCUUAAUGCUUUAUUGAUUGGGGUGGACGAAAAGGGCCACAAAUUGUUAUGUUGAAAUUGGUUCUUUGUGUGUUUGCCAUGAUCUUCAUUCAGUUGAUGCCAUUGAUCCCGUUUGAUUUUGUUCAUGUUAAAAAUCUAUUUUGAAUAAUUCUCCCGUUUUAUAAACACGUUGCCUUGUUUUGGCUGGUUCUCCCUCAUCCGGGCUCGGAAUUGAGCGCCAUUUCUUUUGUUGGAUUCCUUAUUCUUUGAGGAAUCUGUUGUUAAAAUUUCAGAAUUUUUCUCAACCUUUUGGACCGGUUGGGAACCGUUUCAACAGGUCCUGCAUGCCCAACCCUGUUUUAUAAAUGCGUUGCCUUGUUUUGGCCGAUUCUCCCUCAUUCGGGCUCAGAAUUGAGCGCCGUUUCUUUUGUUGGAUUCUUUAUUCUUUGAGGAAUCUUCUGUUAAAAUUUCAGAAUUUUUCUCAACCGGUUGAACUGGUUGGGAACCGGUUCAACAGGUCCUGCAUGUCCAACCCUGUUUUAUAAACGCGUUGCCUUGUUUUGACCGGUUCUCCCUCAUCCAAGCUCGGAAUCGAGUGCCAUUUCUUUUGUUGGAUUCCUUAUUCUUUCAGGGAAUUUGCUAUUAAAAUUUCAGAAUUUUUUUCAACCGGUUGAACCGGUUGUGCAUGACCAGCCCUGUUUUAUAAACAUAUUGCAUUGUUUUUGCCGGUUCUCCCUCCUCCAGGCUCGGAAUUGAGUGCCGUUUCUUUUAUUGGAUUCCUUAUUCUUUGAGGAAUCUGCUAUCAAAAUUUCAGAAUUUUUUCUCAAUCGGUUGAAUCGGUUGGGAACCAGUCCAACAGCCCUUGCAUGAUCAACCUUGUUUUAGUAUGUUUUGACCCAUAUUUUUGUUAUGGCUUGAGCCCUUAGGCUCCGAGGAACUUGUGGGUCUCCUUUAGAGUUUUAAAUGGGCUCUGAACUGAAUCAGAAUAGACCCGCUUCAGAGCUAGAGGCAUUAGGGGUCAGGUAAGUUUGGUUUGAUUUGAUGUUGGAGAUUAGUGAAUUGUUGUUUGAGGGAAUGUGUAAGGAAUAAAAUAAUUGGGUGCCAUCAUUUCCAUUCACUUCCUCUUUAAGCGUGAACUUUGAUGCUUGAUCAUGAAUGCCUACUACAUGCUUGUGUUUGUUGCCUCAUCUUUUCUUUGCAGCACAUGGCUAGGGACCUCAGGUAUGCACUCUGAUUUUUUACUUGUUGAGUGUAUGUGCAUGCUAAAUAUUAGGCGGGUCUAUGUGAUUCAUGUCAUUUGUUUAGCCUAAGGUGUAACACCUAGUACUAAUGAAUUAAAUAGGCAAUAAUGAUUAUUUUAGUACUUAACUUUAAGCUUGCUUAAUUAGAUGUUAAAACUAGUUUAGUGCUAAUCAUGUUUAAUUAUGAAUUAAACUUUGAUUAAGGUUAAGUGGGAUUAGUUAAUGAUCUAAGCAUGCUUAUUAGGUUCUUAGGGACUAAUUAGGGUUAUGAAAACCUAAAGGACUAAUGGGCAAUUAUGGGUUUUAUUUUUGAUAACUUGAAGGACUAAAGUGCAAAAUCUGGAAAUUUGAGUUAGUGGAAUGCCACCUCCUACUUGGGUGGAUUGGUGGCAGCCAUGUGGGCUGCCACCUCAUGCUUGAAUGCUUGGAGACCCCUUUAUAAGGGGGGCUGCAGCUCGUUUUACACCAUUUCACCUGCAGCAACUUGGGUUAGAGAGAGAAUCUAGAGAGAGAAAGUGUAGAUUUGAGGUAAGCAAGUUGUUUAAUUUUGUAAUUUUUGUUUAUUUUGGUUCCUAAUGGUAUGUUGAAUAGAAUUAACGGUAAAAAUUGUGUAAAAGUUGAGUAUAAUUAGCUAUAAACCUGUUUUAGUUAAAAAUCACAAUUAAUUAAAGAUUAAAGUAUUUUAAGUUAAGUAUUUUAUUAAUGGUAAGAUCAACAUAAAUCUUUGUUUAAUUUGGUUUGAUUGAAAAAUAGAUUAGUAAACAUGUGAUGAAUUGGGUUAUUUGGACACUUGGGAUUUGUUAAUAGGUUAGGCUUUAAGAAAAUCAAAAGAAGUAGUGUUUGGUAAUUAAUUAGGGAAAUUAAUAUGCAUUGUAAAUAUUGUUUAAUUAAAUUCAAAUUUGAUCUGAAAACAUGUAGGAUAUAGAUUAGAGAAUGUGAGAAUUAAAAAUUUGCAACAAUAAACUAUAUAAAUUUUCAUGGUUAGGAAACCUAAAUUAUGUUGUUUCAUUUCAGUUCCUCGUAAUAGGCAAAGAUCGCCUACUUAGAAGAAACACAAAAAGGAAGUCGGUGUAAGGUAGGGAAUUUUAUGCUAUUCUAUGGUGUAUCUGAUUUCUUUCCUUGAAUUAUUGGUUGGAAUUUUAUGUUAUUUCUAUGAUUUCAUAAAAUCUUUUAAAGUGUCAUUGCAUCUCGGUUAUUGCAUUGAAAUGUUACCAUGAUGUUGGAACGUAUAUUGGUAUGAAGAUUCGUGGUUUUGUGUUGUCGAAAUGGUUUAUGGUGUGAUUGCAUUGCAAGAAGGAUAUGGAAUUAUCACAGAUCAUAUUCAGAGAAUUUAUUGGUGGCGAAGUGCUUAUGUGAUGCUACAGGCCUUAUCAUUUGAUAUAUUGUUUAUGUGGGACCGUGGGUCCUUGGGUGAAAGUCCCUAAAGCCGUCGAGGAAGACACUCCGAUGUGGGUGUAUGGGGUUGGUCCUGCCCCUGGGUUUUAGUCCCUAAAGACACGGGGUUGGUCCUGCCCUUGGGUAUGAGUCCCAAAAGACACGGGGUAUGACUUGCCCUUGGGUGAUGUCCCAGAAUAGUCAUUAUUAUAUUGAUCGAGUAUCUUGUGGAGCAUUGAUAUCUGCUGUGUAGAUUGUUGGGAGUCGGCAAAUUAUCAGUUGUGAAAGGAUGGAUGGGGAAAAGCAAUGAUGAAACCAACAAACACAUGCAUACAUGUUUGACAUGAUUACACAUUUGUUAAUGGUUAUGAAAUGUUUAUCAUGCAUGUUAUUAAACGUUUAAUUCAAGGUUUUUAAGGGUAUACUUAGGAUGGUUAUAAACUUUCCUACUGAGUUGUGAACUCACCCUAUUCCUUCCACCUAUAGAUGCAGGUCAGAAGACCUAUGCAGGAAAGAAUGCUUGAGCAAUGCUUUACUGUGAUUGGAUGCUGUUUGCUCAUAUUGAAAGUCUUUUGAGGCCAUGCCUUUUGUAUCAAGACUACACCUUUUGUUGGAAUGAUGUAAUGGUAUAUAUUUGUUAGAUACACUUGUAGUAUGGGCUACCCAUAGUAAACAAUGGGGUUUGGUAUAUGUAAAUUAAUGAUGUACAAGUUCCUUUUGCGAAACAAAACAUAUUUUGUUAACUCAAUAGUCACAAUGUUUAUUACAGAAUGUACUCUUUAUAACAGGUUUUCCAUAUCCUCUUUUUGAACAAAUUCAAGUAGGAACUCAACAUUUAAAUUUUUGAGAGCACUUAUACUGUAUUUGAGUAUCAAUUCUUUAGUUGAAGAAUAAAUAAUAAUAAUCAUAAGAAAAAAAAAAUUGGGGUGUGACAUAAGGUUUGUUUGAUCUUUGAUCCAUAUGCUCCCAUAUACCCAGUUCAUCAAUAGAGACCGAGUUCCGGGCCUAGAGGGGUGGUACCUCGGAUGAGGUACCUUCCCAAUAGGUAACCUGAUCCCCGAACCCAGAAUCUAGUUUUCGCAGACUGCUUUUUCCAUACUGGAGUCAUUAAGGGUUUUCGUUCUUACUUGAUUUUCCCCUUUAUAAAAUAAAAAUAAAAAGUAAGUGGCGACUCCAAACAAAACCGUUCCUCAUCGGGUACGGAUUUUCCAAAACCCGAAAACACACUUACCUUCUUUACUUUUUAAAAAGCGAGUCACGCCGACCCGUGGAUCGGGUGAGGGUCCACAGUGACAUUCCAUAUCAGAUAGGAAAAAUAGUAUUUCAUAUAUAUACAUAUAUAUGAACUCUUCUUAAUCAUAUAAAUAUAUUUUAAAACCGUGAGAUAUUCUCGAGUUUGGAGCGUACAAUAUAUAAAUGUGUUUUAAAAUUAUGAGAGACCCUUGAGUUUGGAGCAUACGAUA
rnacentral:lncRNA from 1 species